AAGAAACAAAAGUUAAUAAAACAAGGGUGAACUAAACAAACAUUUACCUAAAUAAAAGGAAAAAACAAAAGGAAAACAAUUUAAAUAAACUCAUCAAUACAAUGAAAAGGACCAACACAAUUACAAUCACACCACCGGGACCCGCAUCGGUGGCGUGAGCACCAUACGGUCACAAAACAGUCAGUGCCACGCUCAAGCGGAUAACGCGGAGCGGGCCCAGGCAGCGCUCAACAAGACGGACAAAGGCGGAGGGCGCUUCAGUCACGCCAGCCGCCGGAGUCCGGACCAACAAGGAAAACGACCCAGGAGCAAGAGAGGAAACAAAACCCACAAGCCAAAACAGCAGUGUGGACCCAGGGAAGGGUGGCUGAUUAUAGCCGGCAAUUUACCAUGGAGGCACACAAACUAACUUUGCGCGUUCAAGAUUUAGAUGAUCAACCAUCCAGCAGCUGGUCUGUAGACUCUGCAACAGGUCCCAGCCCUGACCAGCAACAACCAUCAACUACCAGUUCAGGCAGUGUGGUACAGGCUACACCUCGUGUAUCUGUCGCAUCGGCAGUUCAUUGGCUCCCACGAUCAUGUUGCUGGAGGACGUCCGGCUUCUCCUGCCGCCGCUGAUCUUCGCUGGGACGGGAAUCGGCAGCUUGGUCUUCGUGCUCCCUGAGACGCUCAACUUCCGUCCGCCUGAAAACAUCUUGGAUGUCAAGGAGGGAAGACACAGACAAAGCAAUGGAAACAGAGAUGCAGAGACUGAGCUGAGGAAGAUAAACUCUGAAGACCCGACAGCCCAGCAGCAAAACUGACAAGCUGCAGUCUGUUGAUGUCACAGCUGAUGUCCCUUUAGUGUUCUGAGUCUUUAUUAAAGCACUGAAGUGAUGCUUGACUGUCUGUUGUUCAGACACAUAACACCUUGUUAAGCACAUCAAGUAUUUUGUGUCUGUUUGUCUACUUCACGUUACUUUUUUCUGGCUUUUUCAUUUCUUAAAACUGGCUCAAAAGCUGCUGUAUAGCUGAGCCUCGUGUCAUCAGUGUGUGUUGUGGUCCGUCUGUAACGGCUCAGUGGUGUCUGUAAUGUGAAAUCCUGGGGAUUAAAUUGUUUAAAUGCAUUGAAGCAGCACAUCACAAGACCUGGUGAUGAUGUGUUUGAGUCAAAAAAAGGUGAGAAAUAUAAAAUAUUUUAUAAAAUAUUCAUUGUUGUCAUGAUUACGAGCUGGGUGGAAACGGUGGAACAUGUGACUCUGCAGAGACACGACUCAGUGGAUCCAGCGCUCAUUAAAACCUCUUCCUGCUCGCCUUCACGCUGAAGCGUCAGGUGGACUCAGUCUGAAACCUAACAGAAGACUCAGUGACACAUUGGAGGUCACAGUGCAGAAGGUUAAAAUCACUGCUUCAAAGAAUCCUGUUUGUAUUUUGUAAACAUAUAACAUGUUAUUAAGGUGACAUCUUAAUCUGAAAGUAACUAUAACCAAAGCAAAUGUACAUUUUCUGCCUCUGAUGUGCCAAGGAGUGAAAGUAAAAGCUACUGAGUACUUCAGUAAGUGUACUUUGUUACUUUCCACCACCAGCUAAUGAGUUAAAGGCUCAAACACUGAGGCUCACUGCUGCCAAUCAAACAGCACCCUGCACUUCUCUACAUUUGUUAGCUUGAUGCCGCUAUGAAAACCAAGAGCACAUGGAGAACAACACAUAUUGGGUGGACAGGACAGGAAAUGAUGAUUAGAAGAAUGCUUAUUUAGAAUGAUGGUUAUUAUUUGAGUUCUUUUCAAUAACAACAUCAUGUCAUGUGUCACCGUGGGGUGGUCUGCUAUCAUCCUGAAGUGAAACUGGUCAGUGGCAACAGAAGGCUUCCUUUUAAU